UUGAUUGGUGCUUGCAUCAUGAUUUACAUUUGAGUGAGUGGCGAACUGGUGAGUAACACGUGGGAAACCUGCCCAGAAGCGGGGGAUAACACCUGGAAACAGAUGCUAAUACCGCAUAACAACUUGGACCGCAUGGUCCGAGUUUGAAAGAUGGCUUCGGCUAUCACUUUUGGAUGGUCCCGCGGCGUAUUAGCUAGAUGGUGGGGUAACGGCUCACCAUGGCAAUGAUACGUAGCCGACCUGAGAGGGUAAUCGGCCACAUUGGGACUGAGACACGGCCCAAACUCCUACGGGAGGCAGCAGUAGGGAAUCUUCCACAAUGGACGAAAGUCUGAUGGAGCAACGCCGCGUGAGUGAAGAAGGGUUUCGGCUCGUAAAACUCUGUUGUUAAAGAAGAACAUAUCUGAGAGUAACUGUUCAGGUAUUGACGGUAUUUAACCAGAAAGCCACGGCUAACUACGUGCCAGCAGCCGCGGUAAUACGUAGGUGGCAAGCGUUGUCCGGAUUUAUUGGGCGUAAAGCGAGCGCAGGCGGUUUUUUAAGUCUGAUGUGAAAGCCUUCGGCUCAACCGAAGAAGUGCAUCGGAAACUGGGAAACUUGAGUGCAGAAGAGGACAGUGGAACUCCAUGUGUAGCGGUGAAAUGCGUAGAUAUAUGGAAGAACACCAGUGGCGAAGGCGGCUGUCUGGUCUGUAACUGACGCUGAGGCUCGAAAGUAUGGGUAGCAAACAGGAUUAGAUACCCUGGUAGUCCAUACCGUAAACGAUGAAUGCUAAGUGUUGGAGGGUUUCCGCCCUUCAGUGCUGCAGCUAACGCAUUAAGCAUUCCGCCUGGGGAGUACGGCCGCAAGGCUGANCUCAAAGGAAUUGACGGGGGCCCGCACAAGCGGUGGAGCAUGUGGUUUAAUUCGAAGCUACGCGAAGAACCUUACC
rnacentral:rRNA from 2 species